UACGUAGGGGGCAAGCGUUGUCCGGAUUUAUUGGGCGUAAAGAGCGUGUAGGCGGCCGUACAGGUCAGCUGUGAAAACUCGAGGCUCAACCUCGAGACGUCGGUUGAAACCGUACGGCUAGAGUCCGGAAGAGGAGAGUGGAAUUCCCGGUGUAGCGGUGAAAUGCGCAGAUAUCGGGAAGAACACCCGUGGCGAAGGCGGCUCUCUGGGCCGUUACUGACGCUGAGGAGCGAAAGCGUGGGGAGCGAACAGG
rnacentral:rRNA from 1 species